rnacentral:rRNA from 1 species
UGUAAGCGUAUACCAAAGUUGUUGCAGUUAAAACGCUCGUAGUCGGAAUUUGGCAGUUCCGGAAGUGUGCACGUCGUGUGCGCACUUUGCGGGGACUGCUUUUGUGGUCUUGCGUAGGAUGAGGCACUUUCAUUAGUGAACGUCCUCACGCAACCACUCUUUACUGUGAGAAAAUCAGAGUGCUCAAAGCAGGCAUUUGCCGUGAAUGUAUUAGCAUGUAAUAAUAGAAUAGGACUCGGUUCUAUUUUGUUGGUUUGUUGGGACUGAGUAAUGAUUAAGAGGGACAGUUGGGGGCAUUUGUAUUCCGGCGCUAGAGGUGAAAUUCUUAGAUUGCCGGAAGACAAACUGCUGCGAAAGCGUCUGCCAAGGAUGUUUUCAUUGA